rnacentral:rRNA from 1 species
UUGAACGCUGGCGGCAGGCCUAACACAUGCAAGUCGAACGGUAACAGGAAGCAGCUUGCUGCUUCGCUGACGAGUGGCGGACGGGUGAGUAAUGUCUGGGAAACUGCCUGAUGGAGGGGGAUAACUACUGGAAACGGUAGCUAAUACCGCAUAACGUCGCAAGACCAAAGAGGGGGACCUUCGGGCCUCUUGCCAUCGGAUGUGCCCAGAUGGGAUUAGCUAGUAGGUGGGGUAACGGCUCACCUAGGCGACGAUCCCUAGCUGGUCUGAGAGGAUGACCAGCCACACUGGAACUGAGACACGGUCCAGACUCCUACGGGAGGCAGCAGUGGGGAAUAUUGCACAAUGGGCGCAAGCCUGAUGCAGCCAUGCCGCGUGUAUGAAGAAGGCCUUCGGGUUGUAAAGUACUUUCAGCGGGGAGGAAGGGAGUAAAGUUAAUACCUUUACUCAUUGACGUUACCCGCAGAAGAAGCACCGGCUAACUCCGUGCCAGCAGCCGCGGUAAUACGGAGGGUGCAAGCGUUAAUCGGAAUUACUGGGCGUAAAGCGCACGCAGGCGGUUUGUUAAGUCAGAUGUGAAAUCCCCGGGCUCAACCUGGGAACUGCAUCUGAUACUGGCAAGCUUGAGUCUCGUAGAGGGGGGUAGAAUUCCAGGUGUAGCGGUGAAAUGCGUAGAGAUGGGGAGGAACACCAGUGGCGAAGGCGGCCUGCUGGGCUUUAACUGACGCUGAGGCACGAAAGCGUGGGUAGCAAACAGGAUUAGAUACCCUGGUAGUCCACGCCGUAAACGAUGUCGACUUGGAGGUUGUGCCCUUGAGGCGUGGCUUCCGGAGCUAACGCGUUAAGUCGACCGCCUGGGGAGUACGGCCGCAAGGUUAAAACUCAAAUGAAUUGACGGGGGCCCGCACAAGCGGUGGAGCAUGUGGUUUAAUUCGAUGCAACGCGAAGAACCUUACCUGGUCUUGACAUCCACGGAAGUUUUCAGAGAUGAGAAUGUGCCUUCGGGAACCGUGAGACAGGUGCUGCAUGGCUGUCGUCAGCUCGUGUUGUGAAAUGUUGGGUUAAGUCCCGCAACGAGCGCAACCCUUAUCCUUUGUUGCCAGCGGUCCGGCCGGGAACUCAAAGGAGACUGCCAGUGAUAAACUGGAGGAAGGUGGGGAUGACGUCAAGUCAUCAUGGCCCUUACGACCAGGGCUACACACGUGCUACAAUGGCGCAUACAAAGAGAAGCGACCUCGCGAGAGCAAGCGGACCUCAUAAAGUGCGUCGUAGUCCGGAUUGGAGUCUGCAACUCGACUCCAUGAAGUCGGAAUCGCUAGUAAUCGUGGAUCAGAAUGCCACGGUGAAUACGUUCCCGGGCCUUGUACACACCGCCCGUCACACCAUGGGAGUGGGUUGCAAAAGAAGUAGGUAGCUUAACCUUCGGGAGGGCGCUUACCACUUUGUGAUUCAUGACUGGGGUG